AAACAGACAGGUUUGGUCCUGGCCUUUCUAUUAACUCUUAGCAAGAUUACACAUGCAAGUAUCCCCGACCCAGUGAAAACAGCCUCUAAAUCACCACAAUCAAAAGGAGUAAGUAUCAGGCAUGCACAACGCAGCUCAAAACACUUUGCUCAGCCACACCCCCACGGGAAACAGCAGUGACAAACCUUUAGCAAUAAACGAAAGUUUAACUAAGCUAUGCUGCACCCACGGUUGGUUAAUUUCGUGCCAGGCACUGCGGCCAUACGAUUAACCCAAGCUGAUAGAAACUGGCCUAAAGAGUGUUUUAGAUCUGUUUUAAUAAAGCUAAACUCCAUCUAAGUUGUAAAAAACACCAGCUGACGUAAAAUAAACUACGAAAGCGGCUUUAAAGCUUCUGAAUAUACAAUAGCUAAGAUCCAAACCGGGAUUAGAUACCCCACUAUGCUUAGCCCUAAACAUCAAUAGUUAGAACAACAAAACUACUCGCCAGAAUACUACAAGCAACAGCUUGAAAAUCAAAGGACUUGGCCGUGCUUCACAUCCCUCUAGAGGGGCCUGUUCUAUAAUGGAUAAACUCCGAUUCACCUCACCACCUCUGGCCUAGUCUAUAUGCCGCCAUCCUCAGCAAACCCUAAUAAAGGUUAUAAAGUAAGCAUAAGUGCCCCCGCAAAAAGUUAGGUCAAGGUGUAGCUUAUGAGGUGGUAAGAAAUGGGCUACGUUUUCUACCCCAGAAAACCGCACGAUAGCUCUUAUGAAAUCUAAGAGCCCAAGGAGGAUUUAACAGUAAAUUAAGAGCAGAGUGCUUAAUUGAAUAAGGCCAUAAAGCAUGCAUACACCGCCCAUCACCCUCCUCAAGUAUAUUUAACGAUCAACUUAACUAAACACCCCUCAUAUCUGUAUAGAGGAGAUAAGUCGUAACAUGGUAAGUGUACUGGAAAGUGCACUUGGAUAAACCAAGGC
rnacentral:ncRNA from 1 species